ensembl:lncRNA
AGUGUUCUCCCCCUGACCUGUUUAUAAAGACACCACGGGAAAGACAUUAUGGUUUUAGUAUAUAUAUUUGGCCUGCCUGACUUACCAAGUGUAGGGUCAGUAAGCAUACAGAUUGAAGGCUAGAGAAAUUAUCGUGUAAGAAAGGAAUAACUAGGGAUGAAUGGAAAGCUUAUGCAUGUCCUGGGCUCACAAAAAAGACUCCAAAAGGAGCAACCUCCAGAGAGAGAUCCUUCCUCAGUGGAAGUCAGCCCUUAAAUGGGGUCUAAGAGAGGUGGAGCCUGGCUCCACCCCUCCUGAUUACACAGGUGGAGUUGCUUUCACCUGUGCCCCCAUGGCUGACUCUGUGCUUGCCUCAGGUGCUCAGUCAGAGGUUCAGGCUGUGAUUCAACAGUUCCUAUACAGAAACUAUUUUCAAAAUAAUACUUCAGGUGAAAGCUAAGAGAUUCUCUUCUGCAGAAAGUUGCUGCUUUCUUCCAGAAGCAGCAUUUCAGCUGAGCUUCUUGCUUCACCUGGAAAUACUUGAAAGGAAAAAUUAUCCUUAUACAGUUUGGCUCUGACCCUGAAAAAUAUUAACGUGACAACCAUAACUUCCUGUAUGUGCAACAAUAGGGACUAACAACACCUGUGAUCUAGCUGUUUCCACACAAAGGUGUAACAGCCUGCCUGGCUCUGCAAAUUUGCAGAAUUACUGGCACGACUACCAGAGGGACAGGUCACCUACUGAAGUCUACUUUGCUAUUUCUAUGUAUGUGUUUUUUAGUCCUUCCAUAAGGUAUGUUUGUGUUUCUGCAGAGCAUAUGACUUUACUGCACUAGUAAAAGCAGAUGGAGGAAGGAGAGCUCUGUGUUCCCUUGUAGCUGUGUUUCCCAAAGCUCUGCAGCCUGCUGUUGAGAAAGCCAGCUUGGUUGCUGUUGCCUGUUUAUAAAACUCUCUGACUUGGCCCUCAUCUCUCCUAUCAUGACUGUAUCAAACGUCCCUUUGGUGGCCUGCUAUCUGCUGAGUGAUGCUCGCAUCCCACAGUUCCUGCCUAAGGCACUGACACCCACUGUCAUAACAGAAACAGUGGUCAGCCUGGCGAGUACGUGGAGAUUUCUGAAUUUGGAGCAUCUCCAACACAGUGAAAUGCAAGGUGAGAACACAGACUGGAUUUUCAACAGAAAAUUUUCAUUAGGUGCAGAUUUGCUCAGCUGCUUUGUGAUUUACCACCAGCACAGCAUAUCCUCAGACCCUACCAUGCGGCAUCUUUAAACCUACAGCAAAACAGAAGAUUCUAUUAAAGGGAAAUACUAAGGUCAAUCACCAAAAAAACGUGUAAAUACCCGAAAGCUACAUGUUUGAGAUCAUUUCUUUAAAAACAAUAUACGAUUUUGUGGAGAAUGCGCAGUUAUGAAAGAUUACAGUAGUGAAAACAAGGUGGAUUUUAUCACAGCAGAAAACCACACCAUGGCGUAGUCAGAAGUGAAUUUAGCCCUUCAAGAUCAAGUGUGAUCUUUGGCCAAAUUAUUAUAUUUAACCUCACUGUGAAAAAGAUGUCCUAAAUUAUGAAGACCCUGCUCUGCCCUUGAAUAAGCACAUCAGACACAGACCUCAGUGGGAGGAGUACCGGCUGCUUUUAUGGUCAGGAUUCAGUCAGGGUGUCUGAUGCUGAAUUGUGCAUGUAGAGAGCAGAAUGAAUUCUCAAGGUCUGAUUUGUGGAUUCUGAAUUGCAAAGUUCAGCGAUCCUUGCACUUGGCAAGCACCUGGAAUUGAAGCAUGUGCAACCAAGCUCUGUAUGUAAUUCUGUAAAAUGAGAGCUGUUUAUCUCAGCGGCUGAAAUAUUCAUUAUUGAAAAUAAGCAUUUCAGUGUUCAGAGGCGGAAUCGUGGGCUGAGAAUAAAAACGACCUGGGAAAUAGUAAAAAACUCCAUGUCUCUAAACGGCGUAGGGUAUGACCCUGCAGAAGGGCGAUGGGAGAACUCCUUCCGCCUUGGAGCUGCCUUCUGACUCUGUCCCAUCGUUUCAGCUUGGCUGCUAUUGGUGGUGGCAGAAAAAUACCGGAAGAAAUUUACAACAGUUUUGGCUGAAAGAGAGGAGGAUGAUUGAGAAAAGGGAUGAAAUUGGAAAACACCAACCUUUGCAUCUUUUCCAGAAUGUUCUAGUAACUGGCAGGCAAUAUGGGCUUUGUGUUAAAAAAGGAGCCUAUUACCACCUCUACUGAGAAAGCACCUGCCAUUUGGCCACGUUUUAUGCCUGAGAAAUCACCCCACUUCAGUGUAGCAGCGAAAUGCUCUCAGAUUCUUUCCUUGCUUUGCUUUCUUUUUGCACUCAGACUUUGCAGGCUGCAGACAGUAUUCUCAAAGGGCAGUGGAACUGGCUCCCUCAAGCCCAGGCCCCAGUAAAUGAAUUUGGGGUCACUUGGGAACUUGCUUGUCCUGUAUUUCAGUGGCUGUUUCCUGGCACUGAUUCAGCAGGUUAAGAGCCAGUUUGAAAUGCUGAAGGAACAAAAAGCAGAAAAUGGAUAUGGGGGGGAAAUUUAGAUGGGGACAAGCAUAUAGUGGAAGUUUUCCACUUUAGAUUAGAUUAUUAUGAUUAUGAUCAUUAUUAUUAUUAUUAUUAUUUAAGGAUAGAAGGCAAAGUAAAGGCAACAGGAACAAACCAUGAAGGAAAAGCAGAUAUUCAGAGGAAAGGCUGGGGCAAAGGAUAGCGUGUGAGCUGCCUGCCCCUGGCAGUGGUGCUGGGAUUGUUUGAGCUGGUGUGGUAAAAGGAGUCUGUUCUCUUUAAAAUGCUAGCCUCAGAAGCAAAGCCAAACAGCUAUUGUGCCAUCCUCUGCAGUAACAUUUUGAUGUGCAAUCUCCACAUUGAUAUGAUUAGUUGUUAAGUCAAAUAAGAGACAGCGUGACAGAAAUGUUAUUUAACUGAUUUGCCAAACUGAAUAAAGUAUAGUCUGGUCUUGUUUACAGUCAAAAUGGGAAAGUGUUUACCAGGAUAUCCAGGGGUCUCCAACAAGAGAAAAAAACAGAUCCAAAGUAAACACUUUCCAAUGCUGCCUUAGAGAAUGGUUCCCAUCUCUGGUUCUGCUACAACAUUUCUGCUACUGCUGAACAAAGUCCUUAAAUCCGGCUUCUUCCCUAUGGUUGCUUGCUGGGAACAGAACAACCAAUCGAUCAUAGCCACUGCCAAAAUCAGCAGGGAUGUGCUUCAGAGCUACGAUGCAUU